rnacentral:rRNA from 1 species
UACGUAGGGUGCGAGCGUUGCCCGGAUUUAUUGGGCGUAAAGAGCGUGUAGGCGGCUAGGUAGGUCCGUUGUGAAAAACUCGAGGCUCAACCUCGAGACGUCGAUGGAAACCAUCUAGCUAGAGUCCGGAAGAGGAGAGUGGAAUUCCUGGUGUAGCGGUGAAAAUGCGCAGAUAUCAGGAAGAACACCAAUGGCGAAGGCAGCUCGCUGGGACGGUACUGACGCUGAGACGCGAAAGCGUGGGGAGCAAACAGG